UUUUAAAAGAGUUUAUGGCCGGGCGUCGUGGCCCACGCCUGGAAUCCCAGCACUUUGGGAGGCCAAGGCUGGUGGAUCGCCUGAGGUCAGGAGUUCAAGACCAGCCUGGACAACAUGACGAAACCCUGUCUCUACUAAAAAUACAAA